rnacentral:rRNA from 1 species
GACGAACGCUGGCGGCGUGCCUAAUACAUGCAAGUCGAACGGUAAGGCCUUGUACUUGUGGGGUGUUCGUGUGCCGCAAGGGUGAGUAUCACGCGAGUAACCUGCGCCUGUCUUCGGGAUACAACCAGGAAACAGGGGUGCAUAUCCGACAGGAGCACUUGCUGCACGGUGGGGGUUGGUAAGAUUCGGCGGUUGGUGAUGGACGCGUGGCUCAUCAGUUUGUUAGCGGGGUAGUGGCUUACCAAGGCUCUGACGGGUAGCCGGCCUGCGAGGGUGACCGGCCACAUAGGGCCUGAGGUACGGACCAGACGCCAACGGGAGGCAACAGUGGAGAAUAUUACACAGUAAGCGGAAGCGUGAUGCAGCGACGCCGCGUGCGGAAUAACGGCCUGCGGGUUAUAAACCGCGUUCGCCUGGGACGAAGCGUGAGUGACGGUAAUGGGUAAAGAAGCACCGGCUAACUACGUG